UACGUAGGGUGCAAGCGUUAAUCGGAAUUACUGGGCGUAAAGCGUGCGCAGGCGGUUUUGUAAGUCUGUCGUGAAAUCCCCGGGCUCAACCUGGGAAUUGCGAUGGAGACUGCAAGGCUAGAAUCUGGCAGAGGGGGGUAGAAUUCCACGUGUAGCAGUGAAAUGCGUAGAGAUGUGGAGGAACACCGAUGGCGAAGGCAGCCCCCUGGGUCAAGAUUGACGCUCAUGCACGAAAGCGUGGGGAAGCAACAGG
rnacentral:rRNA from 1 species